rnacentral:tRNA from 1 species
GCUGGGAAAGUAGCUCAGUGGCAGAGCACUUGACAAGCAUGCAUGAGGGCCUGGGUUCAAUCCCCAGCACAACA